UUUAAAGAGAGUUUGAUCCUGGCUCAGGACGAACGCUGGCGGCGUGCCUAAUACAUGCAAGUCGAACGAACGGAGGAAGAGCUUGCUCUUCCAAUGUUAGUGGCGGACGGGUGAGUAACACGUGGGCAACCUGCCUGUAAGUUGGGGAUAACUCCGGGAAACCGGGGCUAAU
rnacentral:rRNA from 1 species